UUCUCAUUAAGGCUCGUUGAUUACUUUGAUGCAAACACGGCGUUGCCAACGGCUGCCGGCAGAACGUCUUGCCGGAGCAUAAUUGCAGUCAUACCGUUUACGCGGCAAGAGAGCUGUCACGUCUUUCAUGUAACCUGCAUUGAAAUAUGAGGACUUGAGAGGCCAGUGCUUUUCAAGGGAGUCCCAAAGGACUCAAUGUGAAGAACUCACAUCCUCACCUGGAAAGGAGAGUGGCUCUGAUACACCCCUCAAACCAGUCAGGCACUGAAAGACUUUUCCAGAUAUGUUUCUGAAAUCAUUUAGGGCAAAAGGGAUCAGAUCGUGUGGUUAUCGGAAUAGUCAAAAGCCAAGGUAAUGGAAGCAGGAUGCGGCGAUGGCCCCGCAGAUUAAGGACCCCUCAGGGCGUCAGUCAGACAUACGCCGGCGCCCGGGAGCACCGCACCUCGCAGCCUCCUCCGUGGCAACCUCCUCGAGAAUCCCC
rnacentral:lncRNA from 1 species